AGAAUUCUUAGUGAGAAUGAAGAAACAAUGAAAAGCCCCCUUUCACACACAAUCUCAUAGAUAUUCGCAUAAACCCCUAGACAUUUCAUUGCAACUACAAAAUGAACUAUGAAAUAAUUCUAAUUCAUGGAUCAUACAUCAUGAAUCUUGACAGAGUUAGUUGUGAUCGAAAGUAGCCCGCCAACUCAAAAUGCUGUCGUUCACCCCAAUUCUAUUUGAGAAGCCAGUUACUG
rnacentral:misc_RNA from 1 species